ACAUGCAGUCGACGGCAGCACGGGAGCAAUCCUGGUGGCGAGUGGCGAACGGGUGAGUAAUAUAUCGGAACGUGCCCAGUCGUGGGGGAUAACGCAGCGAAAGCUGUGCUAAUACCGCAUACGAUCUAUGGAUGAAAGCGGGGGAUCGCAAGACCUCGCGCGAUUGGAGCGGCCGAUAUCAGAUUAGCUAGUUGGCGGGGUAAAAGCCCACCAAGGCGACGAUCUGUAGCUGGUCUGAGAGGACGACCAGCCACACUGGAACUGAGACACGGUCCAGACUCCUACGGGAGGCAGCAGUGGGGAAUUUUGGACAAUGGGCGCAAGCCUGAUCCAGCAAUGCCGCGUGCAGGAUGAAGGCCUUCGGGUUGUAAACUGCUUUUGUACGGAACGAAACGGCUCUUUCUAAUACAGAGGGCUAAUGACGGUACCGUAAGAAUAAGCACCGGCUAACUACGUGCCAGCAGCCGCGGUAAUACGUAGGGUGCGAGCGUUAAUCGGAAUUACUGGGCGUAAAGCGUGCGCAGGCGGUGAUGUAAGACAGAUGUGAAAUCCCCGGGCUCAACCUGGGACCUGCAUUUGUGACUGCAUCGCUAGAGUACGGUAGAGGGGGAUGGAAUUCCGCGUGUAGCAGUGAAAUGCGUAGAUAUGCGGAGGAACACCGAUGGCGAAAGCAAUCCCCUGGACCUGUACUGACGCUCAUGCACG
rnacentral:rRNA from 1 species